rnacentral:rRNA from 1 species
GGGAUAUUGCACAAUGGGGGGAACCCUGAUGCAGCGACGCCGCGUGGAGGAAGAAGUAUUUCGGUAUGUAAACUCCUAUCAGCAGGGAAGAAAACGACGGUACCUGACUAAGAAGCCCCGGCUAACUACGUGCCAGCAGCCGCGGUAAUACGUAGGGGGCGAGCGUUAUCCGGAUUCACUGGGUGUAAAGGGAGCGUAGACGGAUUGUCAAGCCAGAUGUGAAAAUCCGGGGCUCAACCCCGGACCUGCAUUUGGAACUGAUGAUCUAGAGUACCGGGUGGGCAGGCGGAAUUCCUGGUGUAGCGGUGAAAUGCGUAGAUAUCAGGAGGAACACCGGUGGCGAAGGCGGCCUGCUGGACGGAUACUGACGUUGAGGCUCGAAAGCGUGGGGAGCAAACA